AGUUCGAAUCGCUGCCGGUUCUCAAGUCGAGUUCUGCGCUGCACUUUUGUUUACUCUUGAUUUUGUCGUACUUUUUGAUUAAGUGCAUGGCGCAUAGCCGAUUGCCGAUUGCCGAGAAUCCGGGUAUCGGGGCUGAACGGCCGAAUCGAGCCAAGAAUGUCGUCGCAUUGAAAGAGGUCAAUCACCAGCGAUUGCGCCUUGGAUGUCACUCGGUGUAAUUGAGCGCAAUUUAUUUCAUUUGCUAACGAUUUUACGAUUUCGGAUUUAAUUAACUCCCGAAAAGCAGGAAGCCUAGUGGACCAGUUGACAGAGCUCGCCAGCCUCCAAAAUGGAACCCUAGUGUUAUACACAAUGAUUAUAC
ensembl:ncRNA lncRNA:CR43300 long non-coding RNA:CR43300